rnacentral:ncRNA from 1 species
AGAUAAGAAAUCCUGUUAAGUUAAUAUAUGUAAAGGACAUAUUUGUAUCCAAGAUAGCCUUCAAGGCUGGUCUUUUCCUUCAUUCAGCCAACUAAUUAUGGCACUUAGAUGCCUUGGAACAGAUAAGGAACAAUAUGGAUUACUUGGAAUAAGACUCUAGUUCCAUUUGAUUGGUUUUCAGAUCUGAGGCCAUGAUUAAGAGGGAUGGCUAGGGACAUUAGUAGUAUGGUGCUAAAGGUGAAAUUCUUGGACUUGCAUGAGAUAGACAUGAGUGAAAACAUUUGCCAAAAUGUUUUCCUUAAUCAAGAAAGAAAGUAAGAGGUUUGAAGAAAAUCAGAUGUCAUCCUAGUUCUAGGCAUAAAUGGUGCCAAAUAGUGGUCUAGCAGCAUUAUUCUAUAAUCAAUUCACUAGGAAGUUUCUGGCAAAUCAAAGUCUUUGGGUUCU